GAUGAACGCUGGCGGCGUGCCUAAUACAUGCAAGUCGAGCGAACGGACGCGACUCUUGCUUCUCUCAUGUUAGCGGCGGACGGGUGAGUCACACGUGGAUAACCUACCUAUCUGACUGGGAUCACCUCGGGACACCGGAGCUAACACCGGAUAAUCUUUUGAACCGCAUGGUUCGAAAGUGAAAGACGGUCUUGCUGUCACUUCUAGAUGGUUCCGCGCUGCAUUAGCUAGUUGGUAAGGUAACGGCUUACCAAGGCAACGAUGCCUAGCCGACCUGAGAGGGUGAUCGGCCACACUGGAACUGGGACACGGUCCAGACUCCUAAGGGAGGCAGCAGUAGGGAAUCUUCCGCAAUGGGCGAAAGCCUGACGGAGCAACGCCGCGUGAGUGAUGAAGAUCUUCGGAUCGUAAAACUCUGUUAUUAGGGAAGAACAUAUGUGUAAGUAACUGUGCAGAUCUUGACGGUACCUAAUCAGAAAGCCCCGGCUAACUACGUG
rnacentral:rRNA from 1 species